UUCGUUUUGUUUUGUAUUUAAGGUUCAAUGAGUCUCGUGUAUGGCUAAUAACCCCAAUUACCUCACUCGUGAAUUUUUCAGUACUAUUCAAUUUUUUUUUUUGUUUUAAACAUUAAGUUCAGAUUUUUUGAGUGUUGUUGUUUGGUUUGGAAAUGUAUGUCUUCAUAUAUAGUUGAGUUUUUUUGUUAAUUCUUGUUUGAUGUUCUUUUGUUAGGUUCUGAGUCAGCUGCUGGUGAAGAAACUGAUGCUCUUGAGUCCCAAACUGCUGCCGUACUAAUAACCGUGGCGAUGGUUUGCUUACGGCUGUUCAUAAGGAUUAUUUUAGAGUUGUGAACUCGAAGGAUUUGCUAAUUUACCGAUUGUGGUGACAGAGUUGCGCAGUUGCUACAUGUAGAAUUAGUUCCUCCUUACUCUCAGUACGAUGCUCAUCAACAAGUUUUGAUUGUCAAUACUCAUUUGCUGUUUCCUCAUGAUUCAACUUUGUCUAUAGUAAGACUGCAGCAGGUUUAUAAGAUUCUUCAGUAUGUAGUGUCACUGUCUUUAAAACACUGUGAAUACAUAAUUGGGCAUUAGGUUGAGAGAUUUGGCCGAGACUAUGAUUGAUUUAUGACAUUGACAUUCUUCUCCUCAAGCUGGUUCUUGGUGUUGUGGAACUUGGUCUUCGUGUCCUGUCUCUUGCUUCAUCGUCUUCGCGUUUUAUCUGGAACGAUUUCUUCACCUUUUGCCAACGCAAUCCCCAGUUUUGUGUGCUCUUCUGUUUGUUACUUAGCUUUUCAUACUCUUGUUGAAGCUCAUUGUAAUCGGUCUGAAGCUCAGCCAUCUUAUUCUUCAUAUUUUCCAGUUCUUCUGUUAAGUGUCUUGAUUUCAUCAUCUCUACAACCUGCAGAAUUUUCUU